CUUUCCUGCAGGAGCAAGCAAAGAGACUUCCAUUGCUUCCACAUGCUCUGCAACAAGCAACCAACCAGACUACCUGAGGCACUGCAUCAUCGAAUCCUAGCAGAUUAUCAGCAGUUACAACAGGGUAGCCCCAGCUACUCUGAAAUGAAGAGCAGGUGCCUGUACCUCCACAAAAAGCUGGCCCAUAUUCAGAGCCGCAUUUCUGAAUUUGACCAGCUGUAAGUGGAGUACUGGCACCAGACAACUGCUUCAGCCUUGUGAAAUCUGCGAACCCUGGAUUUUUAUUUCAACCCUAGAUUUUUUAUUUAUUAGAGGAUUAGUUUUUAGGAUUAUUUAAGUUAGUAUUGAACAGUAAUUUAUUUUAGCACUGAGCUGUAGAAUAUUUCUUAUACGUGUAGGAUUAGUUCAAAGAAGUUUAGUAAGUUUAAGAAGUUGAAAGAUGAU
rnacentral:lncRNA from 1 species